AUUGAACGCUGGCGGCAUGCCUUACACAUGCAAGUCGAACGGUAACAGGUCUUCGGAUGCUGACGAGUGGCGAACGGGUGAGUAAUACAUCGGAACGUGCCUAGUAGUGGGGGAUAACUACUCGAAAGAGUGGCUAAUACCGCAUGAGAUCUACGGAUGAAAGCAGGGGAUCGCAAGACCUUGUGCUACUAGAGCGGCCGAUGGCUGAUUAGGUAGUUGGUGGGAUAAAAGCUUACCAAGCCGACGAUCUGUAGCUGGUCUGAGAGGACGAUCAGCCACACUGGGAAUGAGAAACGGACCAGACUCCGACGGGAGGCAGCAGUGGGGAAUUUUGGACAAUGGGCGCAAGCCUGAUCCAGCAAUGCCGCGUGCAGGAUGAAGGCCUUCGGGUUGUAAACUGCUUUUGUCAGGGGGCAAAAAGUGGUGGCUAAUACCCAUCGCUCUUGAGAGUACCUGAAGAAUAAGGACCGGCUAACUACGUGCCAGCAGCCGCCGUAAUAC
rnacentral:rRNA from 1 species